rnacentral:rRNA from 1 species
AGCGAACGUUAGCGGCGCGCCUAACACAUGCAAGUCGCACGAGAGUGGAGCAAUCCAUGAAAGUGGCGCACGGGUGCGUAACACGUAGAUAACCUGCCCUGAAGAGGGGGAUAACGUUCCGAAAGGAGCGCUAAUACCGCAUAACACUGCGUCUGGUUCGCCAGAUGCAGACAAAGGCUGGGACCGGCAACGGCCAGUCGCUUCGGGAGGGGUCUGCGGCCCAUCAGCUAGUUGGUGAGGCAAUGGCUCACCAAGGCAGAGACGGGUAGCUGGUCUGAGAGGAUGAUCAGCCACACUGGUACUGGAACACGGACCAGACUCCUACGGGAGGCAGCAGUGGGGAAUCUUGGUCAAUGGGCGCAAGCCUGAUCCAGCCAUGCCGCGUGUGUGAAGAAGGCCUUCGGGUUGUAAAGCACUUUCAGUAGGGAGGAAGCGUUGUGUGUUAAUAGUACACAGCGUUGACGUUACCUACAGAAGAAGCACCGGCUAACUCUGUGCCAGCCGCCGCCGUAACAC